AGGAAAGCAGGGGAUCGCAAGACCUUGCGCUUUUGGAGCGGCCGAUGUCUGAUUAGCUAGUUGGUGAGGUAAAGGCUUACCAAGGCUUCGAUCAGUAGCUGGUCUGAGAGGACGACCAGCCACACUGGGACUGAGACACGGCCCAGACUCCUACGGGAGGCAGCAGUGGGGAAUUUUGGACAAUGGGGGAAACCCUGAUCCAGCCAUGCCGCGUGAGUGAAGAAGGCCUUCGGGUUGUAAAGCUCUUUCAGCCGGAACGAAAAGGUUACGGUUAAUACCCGUGACUAAUGACGGUACCGGAAGAAGAAGCACCGGCUAACUACGUGUCAGCAGCCGCGGUAAUACGUAGGGUGCGAGCGUUAAUCGGAAUUACUGGGCGUAAAGCGUGCGCAGGCGGUUUUGUAAGUCAGAUGUGAAAUCCCCGGGCUCAACCUGGGAACUGCGUUUGAAACUACAAGGCU
rnacentral:rRNA from 1 species